AAUGUCCGGGAGGAAAAUAACAGACUGAUGCUUUUGAAGUGCCUCUUACACCCACCCCCUUUCCCCUGGGCAUUCUCACGUCAAAGCCGCUGAGAGAGGUGAGAGUUGGUGGUGUGACUCUAUGCAGUGAAUGCGUCCAGGUAUUGUGUCCAGCUGUGCCAUAGCAGCACGUCCGUUGCAGUGUUGUGUCUCUCCAUGGUGCACACAUAGGAUUCCUUCCCAGGUGUGUCUGCCACCCCUCGGGAGCCGCGUAAGCUAUUCAUUGUGCUAAAAUACAACAAAGGAACCAACCCCAAGGCAGGGUGUAGGCUACCACUGUAUGCGGAGGGCUGCAAGGAAGAGAGGUAGUAGCGAUCAGGUGUUGCACAAGCUUUUGCUGAUGCCUGCCGGGGCUGGGGGGCGGGGAGGAAGCGGGUACUUGCCACUUAUGUGAUGGCUGUAAGUGUGGGAAGCCGAGUGGCUCUCUCGUUUGUGGAGCUUCUGUUGUCCAUGUCAGUUACAAUAGAGGCUUUUGCUCCAGCCACAAAACAUAAUCGGAGAACAGCUCCUUGGCUUGCUGCUUCUCUUAUUCCGCCCCACCCCCCACAUCUGGGACAGACCUGGUUAUAGUUUUUCUGAACACUUUCCACCGCCUGCUAUGUCCCGAACCAUUUCCUGUGCUCUAAGCUCCGUCCAGAUCAACAGCCUCCAGUUGCAAUAUGCAAUCGGAGACUGUCCACACUAGAUGCCAAAGCAGCGCCUGGUUCUGUCUCAGCCCAUCACGCUGGGCUCAGCUUGUGUGGGGGAGAAAACCUUGCUGCCACCGCAGGUGCUUUCCUGGUCUGCUCUGAGAAGCCUGGCUGAAGAGAUCGGUAACUUUGAGAGAUUUGGAUCUGUUGAUUGUUUUACACAAAUUGUUUUCAAGGCAAAAGGUGUCUUUGGAGAUCAACCGAGGUCCGCGCAUGCGUUGGUCUGUUGGGAAUUAUUGCUCUGCCUUGGACUAAGUUGCAUUCCUUGGAUCUUCGGAGAAAAGCCAAUUCUGCAGACAGAGUUAGGAAUGUGGACAGUUCACAGUCGAGAGUAUUUUGGGAUUCUCUCGUUCCCGGUGAUGCUAGCCAUGGUCUGCUGUGCGCAAAGCGUUAAUGAGCCUAGCAACAUGUCAUACGUGAAAGAGACAGUGGACAGAUUGCUCCAUGGAUACGACAUUCGCUUGAGGCCAGACUUUGGAGGUGCUCCUGUUGACGUCGGGAUGAGGAUAGACAUUGCCAAUAUAGACAUGGUUUCAGAGGUCAACAUGGACUACACACUUACAAUGUAUUUCCAGCAGUCCUGGAGGGACAAAAGGCUGUCUUACUCUGGAAUACCUUUGAACCUAACUUUGGACAAUAGAGUAGCUGACCAGCUCUGGGUGCCGGACACAUACUUCCAAAAUGACAAGAAGUCAUAUGUUCACGGGGUUACAGUGAAAAAUCGAAUGAUUCGACUACAUCCUGAUGGAACAGUCCUUUAUGGCCUACGGAUUACAACCACAGCUGCUUGCAUGAUGGAUCUACGCAGAUACCCUCUGGAUGAACAAAACUGCACACUAGAAAUUGAAAGUUAUGGAUACACCACUGAUGAUAUUGAGUUUUACUGGAAUGGAGGGGAAUCUGCAGUAACAGGAGUUAAUAAUAUUGAGCUCCCACAGUUCUCAAUUGUUGAUUACAAGAUGGUAUCAAAAAAAGUGGAAUUUACAACAGGGGCAUAUCCUCGAUUAUCACUUAGUUUUCGGCUUAAACGAAAUAUUGGUUACUUCAUUUUGCAAACCUACAUGCCUUCCACGUUGAUCACAAUUCUAUCGUGGGUAUCUUUUUGGAUCAACUAUGAUGCCUCUGCUGCAAGAGUUGCCCUAGGAAUCACAACUGUGUUGACCAUGACCACAAUCAGCACUCAUCUCAGGGAGACACUGCCAAAGAUUCCCUAUGUAAAGGCAAUAGAUAUUUACCUAAUGGGAUGCUUUGUGUUUGUAUUUCUGGCCUUGCUGGAAUAUGCCUUUGUAAACUACAUAUUCUUUGGGAAAGGCCCUCACCGUCAAAAAAAAGCAGCUGAGAAGGCUACUGAUGAGAAGGGCAAACCAGAGAUGAAUAAAGUCCAGGUUGAUGCCCAAGGAAACAUUCUUCUUACGACUCUGGAAUUAAGAAAUGAGAUCAGCAGCUCAGAAGUGUUCACAGGUAUCAGUGACCCAAGAGCCACCAUGUAUUCAUAUGACAGUGCCAGCAUCCAGUAUAGAAGACCCAUCUCAAGCAGAGAACUCUACAGCAGAAGCACUUUGGACAGGCAUAUGGUUCAUAAAAAGGGGAAUUUACGAAGAAGGGCAUCACAGCUCAGAGUCAAAAUCCCAGAUCUGACAGAUGUUAAUUCUAUAGACAAAUGGUCAAGGAUGGUCUUUCCUAUCACAUUCAUUAUUUUCAAUGUAGUUUAUUGGCUUUACUAUAUCCACUAAUAUAUGCACUGAUCAUCCCAUCCCUAGAUUUCUUUUCUUCCCUUCAUUUUGUUAACUCUCCAGGACUGCAGUAGCCAUAAUGCUACAUUUCCAAGAUCUGUUAUCCACAUUUCCUGCACUACCACAAUAUGACCAUUUGUUUAGGAGCCCCGCACUGAUAAUUAAUGAAAAGGAUGGUCAUAAUAUCCCACCAAACUAUUAACAGAGUGGCCCAGGGGCUGAACAGGAAACAUUCUCAGAGUAGUUAGUUAAUAAUCUCCAGAGGCAGAAUAAAACAGGCAACUUAAAUCUGACAUUCCCUAACUGCAAGUAAAGUUACCAUGGACUGCUCAUGUGGUACUGAAGCCCAGACUGAACUGUAAGUAUUUUGUUUACUCCUUAUGACAUUAGUAACUUUUUAUUUUAUAACUCUUUUUGUAUUUCUUAACUUCUUAAGAUAGGAUAACCUCUUGCCUCGGGCAGAACUGGUGCCAGUCUCACAAUCAUCCCCUUUUGGCCUUGUCUACCUAUUACUUUCUUAUUUUGGCGGGACCUGCCCAAUUGCUGCGAAGAGCCGGAUGUGCCGCCCCUUUCCGUUGGCCGC